UACAUGUGUCAGCCACUCCUUCUGUUCCCCCACAGCCUAGGUGUUUGACUAAGGAUUCCACUGAAGGCCUAAGCCACCAAAGUUGUGACAAUUGCUAUGGGGAAGGCGAAACCUGCAAAGCAGGGACAAUUCCUUCCUGGCUCUGAAGACAAAAACCACCGUACAACCACAGCAACGCCCACAUACCUGGAAAGAAAAGUGUAUGUUGCAAACUACCCUGAAAGAGUUUACACUCACAGGCAGAAUAUACAAAUUUUAAAUAACAAGAAGAGAAGAAGAGUUCUGCUGCAUCAGACUGAAGGCCCACGGCUUCCCACAGUGGUCAACCAGAUGCUCCUGGGAAGCUGACAAACCAGACAUGAGGGCAAUGGCCCCAACUCCUGUUGAUGUUUCCCAGGCACUGAUAUUCAGAGGCAGAUUAUCUGUGAUCCUGGAGACAGCAUAUAGCCAUCAUAACUAGUAGCCGUAGGUAGCCUAACUUUCCAUCAAUGGGUCUAAUCCUCCUUGAAAAGUCAUUUAAGUUGGUAGUUGUUAAACAAUUCUGACCUAGAUUGAACAGGAGUUGGACUUGGCAUAAAGUAGUUUCAUAAGUUCAACAAAGAUACAUGAUUCCUUACGGGCGGCCAUAGAGGGGUCCGCUAUUUUACAUGGCAAUCUCAAGAAGUAAAGACAAGAACAUGUUUCCUACUUUUAUAGCCCACUGGAAUGAUUUUUUUUUAAAAAAACCCCAAAACAUUUAUACCCUGCUCUUCAGGAGAAACUUGCCCACCCCCCCCAUAAACAAAAAAUUGAAAAUAAAAAUUACAGUAAAUACAAAAACCAUUGCAUACUAACACCAGCAGCAAAAAAGAUGGAGCAGACAAUUCAAAUAUUAUAAAACUCCAUUAUCUAAAAGGCCUAGGCAAGUAAAACAAAUCUUCACCUGGCACCUAAAUAGCAUACAUUUAAUGGCUUCACUUCAUGGAUUUUUAUAUAAUCUAGAAAAUGUUAAAUCCAGCAUUAAGCCUCUGAGUCCCAAAAAUGUCCCAGAAGUGUUGAGAUUUUACAAUCAAUAUUAUCUUGACUGUAGUGUACUUGAGACUGUUUACUGUUAGCUGAGUUUCCAGGACCUGCACUUGUUUGUCCAUGGAUAAGGGAGGGAAAGAUUAUAUACACCUGGCAAAAAAGUUCCCAUAGUGAUUUUAAGUCAUUUUGACUUAAACAUCAAAAUUUGAGGUCAGAACCUGUACAAAGUCCAGAUGCUGAUAAUGUCAAUGGAUGUUAUGCAAUAUGUCAUAGCUUUUCUGAAUAAACGUAUUGAAAAAAUGUUUGGAAUUGUUGAUUUGGCUGUGAUCUCAUUAGUGAAAUACAUAUACAGGGCUCAACUAAAUGGUGUAAUAUUGUGCAAC
rnacentral:lncRNA from 1 species